rnacentral:tRNA from 1 species
GGCGCGGUGGUGGAAUUGGCAGACACGCUAGCUUUAGGAGCUAGUAAGCGUAAGCUUGUGAGAGUUCAAAUCUCUCCCGCGCCACCA